rnacentral:rRNA from 1 species
AUUGAACGCUGGCGGCAGGCCUAACACAUGCAAGUCGAACGGUAACAGGAAGAAGCUUGCUUCUUUGCUGACGAGUGGCGGACGGGUGAGUAAUGUCUGGGAAACUGCCUGAUGGAGGGGGAUAACUACUGGAAACGGUAGCUAAUACCGCAUAACGUCGCAAGCCCAAAGAGGGGGACCUUCGGGCCUCUUGCCAUCGGAUGUGCCCAGAUGGGAUUAGCUAGUAGGUGGGGUAACGGCUCACCUAGGCGACGAUCCCUAGCUGGUCUGAGAGGAUGACCAGCCACACUGGAACUGAGACACGGUCCAGACUCCUACGGGAGGCAGCAGUGGGGAAUAUUGCACAAUGGGCGCAAGCCUGAUGCAGCCAUGCCGCGUGUAUGAAGAAGGCCUUCGGGUUGUAAAGUACUUUCAGCGGGGAGGAAGGGAGGAAAGUGAAUACCUUUGCUCAUUGACGUUACCCGCAGAAGAAGCACCGGCUAACUCCGUG